rnacentral:rRNA from 1 species
AGUGAACGCUGGCGGUAGGCCUAACACAUGCAAGUCGAACGGCAGCACAGUAAGAGCUUGCUCUUACGGGUGGCGAGUGGCGGACGGGUGAGGAAUACAUCGGAAUCUACUUUUUCGUGGGGGAUAACGUAGGGAAACUUACGCUAAUACCGCAUACGACCUACGGGUGAAAGCAGGGGAUCUUCGGACCUUGCGCGAUUGAAUGAGCCGAUGUCGGAUUAGCUAGUUGGCGGGGUAAAGGCCCACCAAGGCGACGAUCCGUAGCUGGUCUGAGAGGAUGAUAAGCCACAUUGGAACUGAGACACGGUCCAGACUCCUACGGGAGGCAGCAGUGGGGAAUAUUGGACAAUGGGCGCAAGCCUGAUCCAGCCAUACCGCGUGGGUGAAGAAGGCCUUCGGGUUGUAAAGCCCUUUUGUUGGGAAAGAAAAGCAGCAGGUUAAUACCCCGCUGUUCUGACGGUACCCAAAGAAUAAGCACCGGCUAACUUCGUG